rnacentral:rRNA from 1 species
UACGAAGGGGGCUAGCGUUGCUCGGAAUCACUGGGCGUAAAGCGCACGUAGGCGGCUUUUUAAGUCAGAGGUGAAAUCCUGGAGCUCAACUCCAGAACUGCCUUUGAUACUGGAGAGCUUGAGUCCGGGAGAGGUGAGUGGAACUGCGAGUGUAGAGGUGAAAUUCGUAGAUAUUCGCAAGAACACCAGUGGCGAAGGCGGCUCACUGGCCCGGUACUGACGCUGAGGUGCGAAAGCGUG